rnacentral:lncRNA from 12 species
AUGUUGAAUAAAUAGAUGAAAAAUUGGGCAAAUUCUCAACAUUUUUCUUUAUUUAUAGAAGAGAAACACUAAACUUGCAGUUCCAUACACUGCUGCUGAGAUCAAUCCUACUAAGGAAAACAACACAGUUUCUUAAACAGGAUCAAAAGAGCUUUGCAUUUGUUGUGGGGCCUGGAAGCUUGGUAGUGUGAGGCCCAGGCAAGAGGGUGAAUGACGUGGACAGAGUCUUGGGAUGAAGCUGGGAAUGUGGUAGACCACACUGGAUUGGAAAAUAUAUUUUGGUAAGUAAUUUUUAAGUGUUGUAAUGAAGCAAAAUAAAAAGAGGUUGAUUUCUGUUAAAAUGGUUUAU